AAACUUUUCCCUCAAUCGGGCGAGCAUUUUGAAAUGAUGCGCGCUUCGAUGAAUACUGCAACGGCUCAUGGGCGCGAUUUGUCCCAUGAGCCGAAAUGCAGAGCCGGAGCCGUCCGAGAGAGGUUAUCGUUGA
rnacentral:ncRNA from 1 species